rnacentral:rRNA from 1 species
UUGGAGGGCAAGUCUGGUGCCAGCAGCCGCGGUAAUUCCAGCUCCAAUAGCGUAUAUUAAAGUUGUUGCAGUUAAAAAGCUCGUAGUUGAAUUUCGGGAUCAAUUUGUUGGUCGUGCCUCGGUACGUACUGGCAUUAUUGGUUUCUACCUUCUGAAGAACCUUGAUGUCAUUAAUUUGGUGUCUUGGGGAAUCAGGACUGUUACUUUGAAAAAAUUAGAGUGUUUAAGCAGGC